GUGCUUAUUUUGGCAGCACGUACAUUAAAAUUAUAAUGAUACAGAGAGUAUUAGCAUGGCCUCUGCACAAGGAUGACACAUAAUAAUAAUAAUAAUAAUAAUAAUAA